rnacentral:rRNA from 1 species
GAUGAACGCUAGCGGCAGGCCUAAUACAUGCAAGUCGAACGGUGUCUUCGGACAUAGUGGCGCACGGGUGCGUAACACGUAUGCAACCUACCUUACAUUGGGGGAUAGCCUUUCGAAAGGGAGAUUAAUACCGCAUAAGACAGUAGCUGGGCAUCCAGCAGCUGUUAAAGAUUUAUCGAUGUAAGCUGGGCAUGCGUCCAAUUAGCUAGUUGGUGAGGUAACGGCUCACCAAGGCAAUGAUUGGUAGGGGAACUGAGAGGUCAAUCCCCCACCCUGGCGCUGAGAGACGGGCCAGACUCCUACGGGAGCGAGCAGUAGGGAAUAUUGGGCAAUGGACGCAAGUCUGACCCAGCCAUGCCGCGUGCAGGAUGAAGGCGUUAUGCGUUGUAAACUGCUUUUAUACAGGAAGAAACGACUCUUGCGAGAGGCAUUGACGGUACUGUAUGAAUAAGCACCGGCUAACUCCGUGCCAGCAGCCGCGGUAAGAC